ACUGCGCAGCUGCAAACAAGAACGUGACCAGAAACCGCCAACUAUGUUAGCAGAGACUGCCGGGAAACCAAGGUUCGCCACGCGGCGAGCAGCUCAAAACUCGAACUUCUCUUCACCCCUGGGCGGGGCACUAUGCCGGACUGUGCAAGCUGUCCGACCUGCAGUCCUUGACCCAUGUAGUGCCACAAACCAAGGAGGCUAUUGCCACUCACCAAUUACAGAAUUGACAUUCUUGGAAGUAUUUCGACCAAAGGCGCAGAUGCAUGCUGACUCAGCAGGCACAGUAAAGCUGGCCAGGCUCCACUGAGAGUCCACGUACUGCCCAAUCAUAGGCCCGACCUUGCCCACACGAGCCAGCCUGUAAGCAGCAUUUGGGCUGAAGGGAUGACUCAUUGGAUAAGAGCACUGGCUGCUCUUCCAGAAGACCCAGGUUUGAUUCUCAGCACCCACAUGGCAGCUCACAACUGUCUGUAAAUUCAGUCCCCAGGGAUCUCAUACCCUUUACUGGACUCCAACAGCACUCACUAGAUGAAUGUGAUGUGCAGAUAUGCAUGCAAGCAAAAAAUUCAUACAAACAAAAACUAAAAUUUACAUUUUUGUAUGUGGGGGGUGUACUUGUUACAGAGUAUGUGUGAAGGUCAGAAAACAACUUUUUGGAGUCAGUUCCCUCCUUUCAUGUGGGUCCUUGGUUUCUAUAUUGUUUUGCUUUUUCUCUUUCUUGAGGCAGUGUUUCUCUGUGUAACAAUCCUGACUCUCCUGGAACUUGUUUUGUAAAGUAAACCAAGCUGGACUGGA